UGGGGAAUAUUGGACAAUGGGCGCAAGCCUGAUCCAGCCAUGCCGCGUGAGUGAUGAAGGCCCUAGGGUUGUAAAGCUCUUUCACCGGUGAAGAUAAUGACGGUAACCGGAGAAGAAGCCCCGGCUAACUUCGUGCCAGCAGACGCGGUAAUACGAAGGGGGCUAGCGUUGUUCGGAUUUACUGGGCGUAAAGCGCACGUAGGCGGACUUUUAAGUCAGGGGUGAAAUCCCGGGGCUCAACCCCGGAACUGCCUUUGAUACUGGAAGUCUUGAGUAUGGUAGAGGUGAGUGGAAUUCCGAGUGUAGAGGUGAAAUUCGUAGAUAUUCGGAGGAACACCAGUGGCGAAGGCGGCUCACUGGACCAUUACUGACGCUGAGGUGCGAAAGCGUGGGGAGCAAACAGG
rnacentral:rRNA from 1 species